GGAGAGAUGGCCGAGUUGGCUGAAGGCGAUCGCCUGCUAAGCGAUUAAGCGGGGAAAAACCUGCUUCGUGGGUUCGAAUCCCACUCUCUCCG
rnacentral:tRNA from 1 species